AUUGAACGCUGGCGGCAGGCCUAACACAUGCAAGUCGAACGGUAACAGGAAGAAGCUUGCUUCUUUGCUGACGAGUGGCGGACGGGUGAGUAAUGUCUGGGAAACUGCCUGAUGGAGGGGGAUAACUACUGGAAACGGUAGCUAAUACCGCAUAACGUCGCAAGACCAAAGAGGGGGACCUUCGGGCCUCUUGCCAUCGGAUGUGCCCAGAUGGGAUUAGCUAGUAGGUGGGGUAACGGCUCACCUAGGCGACGAUCCCUAGCUGGUCUGAGAGGAUGACCAGCCACACUGGAACUGAGACACGGUCCAGACUCCUACGGGAGGCAGCAGUGUGGAAUAUUGCACAAUGGGCGCAAGCCUGAUGCAGCCAUGCCGCGUGUAUGAAGAAGGCCUUCGGGUUGUAAAGUACUUUCAGCGGGGAGGAAGGGAGUAAAGUUAAUACCUUUGCUCAUUGACGUUACCCGCAGAAGAAGCACCGGCUAACUCCGUG
rnacentral:rRNA from 1 species